AUGGAUAGUGGGGAUCCAGGGCAACCCUUGGUCCUGUGACAGUGACAGAUAGACAUGUGUUUGGCUGCAAGUAACUGGAAAUCCAACUGACCGUGGCUCAGACAAGCCCGGGUUUAUUUUCCCCACAGAAUACGAAGUUCACUGGGAGGCAGUUGUUGGUCUUGACUUAGUGGCUCAAGAGAAUCAGGGCUCUUGCCGGCAUCUUUGCACUCCUCUUGGCCUCUCCCUGUGGCUUCAGAGGGGAUGCUUCAGGUCUUCUUAAGGUAGGAAGAAGGAAUAAGGGCAGCACCAGCCACAUCUGUCCCCUUUAUCCCGAAGUAAAGCUUUUCCAGGACCCUCAGAGGAGCUCCCCUCACAUCUCAUUGGGCAGAGCUGAUCCUAUGACCGAUCACAUGCCUGCCUCAGCCGCAAGGGAUGCUGGAAAGAGGAAGGGAGAUAGAAGUAUCGAUGAGAGAGACACAUUGAUCGGCUGCUUCCUGCAUGCCUCCCAACGGGGAUCAAGCCCACAACCCAGAAUGAAUUGAAAUGCCUCCUCCUCCAGGAACUAUUCUGUGAUCUACCAAUCGGCCAGAAUGUAUUGAGCAACCACUACAUGCCAGCCCCUGUUCUGGACAUAGAGGACAGAUGGUGACUGUAACAGACACAGCCCCUGCAUCUAAUCAUCUUCCUGGGAAUGGUCCUUCACCAGACUCUGAGCAACUUGGAGGCAGAGAUCUGGCUAAUUCAACUUUACAUAAGAAUAUAUCCCAGAGCCUGGCACAUAGUAGGCGGUUAAUGAAUUCAACAACUUGCUCAUGCGUGUAGUUAUGGAAAUGUAAAGGCGCCAGAGGGCCAGCAUGAUAGGAAAAAAUAAAAUU